GAUGAACGCUAGCUACAGGCUUAACACAUGCAAGUCGAGGGGUAACGAGAGGAAAGCUUGCUUUCCUUGUCGACGACCGGCGCACGGGUGAGUAACGCGUGUCCAACCUGCCCCCAACUAGGGAAUAACCUUGCGAAAGUAAGACUAAUACCCUAUAAUUUCCUCAGAUGUCAUCUGACGAGGAAUAAAGAUUUAUCGGUUGUGGAUGGGGAUGCGUCUGAUUAGCUUGUUGGCGGGGUAACGGCCCACCAAGGCAACGAUCAGUAGGGGUUCUAAGAGGAAGGUCCCCCACAUUGGAACUGAGACACGGUCCAAACUCCUACGGGAGGCAGCAGUGAGGAAUAUUGGUCAAUGGGCGGAAGCCUGAACCAGCCAAGUAGCGUGCAGGAUGACGGCCCUAUGAGUUGUAAACUGCUUUUAUACAGGAAUAAAGUUAGCCACGUGUGGUUAUUUGUAGGUACUGUAUGAAUAAGGACCGGCUAAUUCCGUGCCAGCCGCCGCGGUAA
rnacentral:rRNA from 1 species